CUACGUGCCAGCAGCCGCGGUAAUACGGAGGGUGCGAGCGUUAAUCGGAAUAACUGGGCGUAAAGGGCACGCAGGCGGUGACUUAAGUGAGGUGUGAAAGCCCCGGGCUUAACCUGGGAAUUGCAUUUCAUACUGGGUCGCUAGAGUACUUUAGGGAGGGGUAGAAUUCCACGUGUAGCGGUGAGAUGCGUAGAGAUGUGGAGGAAUACCGAAGGCGAAGGCAGCCCCUUGGGAAUGUACUGACGCUCAUGUGCGAAAGCGUGGGGAGCAAACAGGAUUAGAUACCCUGGUAGUCCACGCUGUAAACGAUGUCGAUUUGGGGGUUGAGCUUUAAGCUUGGCGCCCGUAGCUAACGUGAUAAAUCGACCGCCUGGAGAGUACGGCCGCAAGGUUAAAACUCAAAUGAAUUGACGGGGGCCCGCACAAGCGGUGGAGCAUGUGGUUUAAUUCGAUGCAACGCGAAGAACCUUACCUACUCUUGACAUCCAGAGAACAUUC
rnacentral:rRNA from 1 species